ACGACGCACUACAUGAUUUUGCAAAAGCAAGAGAAAGAGAAGUAUUUUUUUUUUGGUGUUUUUUUGGGGAGAAUUUGAGGGGAAAAGGAAGAGUUACAUAAUUGGAUGGUUUUUAUAAAUGUGUUCUUAAGGAAUGUUGGGAGGAGAGAGCGGAGCCAGGCUUGGGAAGCUUGAGGUCAGAAGAAGGAGGUGUGGAAAUGGAGCAUGUGAUGAUGAUGACGGAAGUGCGAUGUGAUUGGAGGUGUUAAGGUUGGAAUGGAAUCGGAAAACUUGUGAGAAAGGUUGUGAUGCAAGUUGGAAGAUGGUGGAGGAGAGAGGGAGAAAAGGGAAAAGUGCGGUGGUGGAAGGUGGAGAAAAGUGGUGGUCAACGAGUGCUUGAAGAUGAAUGAG
rnacentral:lncRNA from 1 species